rnacentral:rRNA from 1 species
GACGAACGCUGGCGGCGUGCUUAACACAUGCAAGUCGAGCGGGAACCUCGGGAGGGGUAACCCUUCCGAGGGGAGAGCGGCGAACGGGUGAGUAUCACGUGGGCAACCUGCCCCGGACACCGGGAUAACCCAGGGAAACCUGAGCUAAUACCGGAUACUCCGGCACGAUCGCAUGGUCGUGCCGGGAAAGCUCCGACGGUCCGGGAUGGGCCCGCGGCCUAUCAGCUUGUUGGUGGGGUAACGGCCCACCAAGGCGACGACGGGUAGCUGGUCUGAGAGGACGGCCAGCCACACUGGGACUGAGACACGGCCCAGACUCCUACGGGAGGGCAGCAGUGGGGAAGUCUUGUCCAAUGGGCGAAAGCCUGAGACAGCGACGCCGCGUGGGGGAGUGAAGGCCUUCGGGUC